UACAGAGGUCUCAAGCGUUGUUCGGAUUCAUUGGGCGUAAAGGGUGUGUAGGUGGCGCGCUAAGUCGGGUGUGAAAUUUCGGAGCUUAACUCCGAAACUGCAUUCGAUACUGGCGUGCUUGAGGACUGGAGAGGAGACUGGAAUUCAUGGUGUAGCAGUGAAAUGCGUAGAGAUCAUGAGGAAGACCAGUGGCGAAGGCGGCCUUCUGGACGGAUACUGACGCUGAGGCGCGAGAGCCAGGGGAGCAAACGGG
rnacentral:rRNA from 1 species